GGUUCAGUUUAAGUUUAGUUAUGUUUAAAAAUCUAAAUUCAACUCAUUAGAAGAUGAUGGUGGGUUCCUCUUCUUCUUCUGUCAUUGUGGAUGACACUUUAAGACAGUUAUUUUGGUCUUGUUGCACUUGCAACUCGCUACCUUUGCGACUGCGAUGUUGUUCGCGUAAAGAAAUAAUUUUUUCACCGAGAAAAGCCAAAAGGGAAAGGCUCAAUCCAACCGAUAAAACGACAAAUGCGCCAGUUAAAUUUUUCAGGGUGAGGGGCGAAAGUUUCUUUGUUUUGUUUCCAGUUUGGGGUUUUCCGGUACAUUGAGGAGGCAUGGGUCGCAACAACCUGUCCCAGUAGUCGGUCAACCCCAUUUCUUGCUGUUCCAAAACGCUGAAUGAAACCACAAUUCCAAAAAUUAAGAAAAAUUUAUCCCUUCUAUUAAGUAGUUAGCUGUACUGGCUUAUACCCUUGCUGGUUAUUAUUAUUGGUAACAUUCGCCAUCGGCGAAUAUACACCUCAUUUAAAAACGAAAAAAAAAAUACCCUUGCUGCAUGCUUUGCGUGUAGGGACUGUUUUUCUGUAAAACAAGCGUCGGCGGGCCGGUGAUGAAUGCUUCCUUUGCGAAUUGUAAGUUGCACUUUCCAGUCUUUUUAAAAUCAGUUCUGAUUACAUCUUCGAGGUAACCAUUGGCCUAGUUUAAUUAAUCAAUUUAAAAAGAUUAAAAAUUCUUCAAAUCUUGUAAAGAAAAAGAACAGCAAACUGACUAUAUUUUACCUCGAGUAAUACGUUUUUAGAUUCUGGUUUGAUGGGUCCAACGCAAUCAGACAUAGAUCCGCAUCGAGAGUUCGGGAAAGAGUCUAUCUUUGUCCUUAAUUUCCCGAAUAGUCCCGUAAAAUUGUUUGUCUGUCGCAAGUUAAAAUCUAGUUAGUCUGAUGCUGUUAAAGUACAUUGACAUCUCUUUUUCCUUACCGAUAGCACAGUAUUUAAAAAUCCGGAUUCCCUGACCAGUAAAUUGACAUCGCCAUUGUUAAUAACGUCGUAGACAGAAUCGAUUAGCGGGCGAUUGUUCGGCGUCACGACGUAUGUGAAGAGAGUGGACGUGUAGGCCUGGACGAAGAUGAAAGCGGCCAGUGUCCAAACGCCAGCGACUAGUCGGUAAGGUAUUCGUUUCGAUGGACAAGCGCCACCUAAUUGAUAAUGAAGCAGUUGUGACUUAUUGUUGCCAUGAAUUUUCGUACAGCUGUCAAAAUAAACGAAUCAUUUGAUUCGUUGGGUAUAGUUAAACCUUGUGACAGCAAAUUGCCAAAGACGUAGAGGUACUGUUUUCCGGUUUCUCCUUUGGUGAUUAUUUUUUCAGUCGGUGCUGGAUGGUUGUUUGGUGUAAAUGUCGUUUCAAUCACCGAUCGAUAUUGCAAGUAGCGCUGGAUUAAAUUCAAAACUGCGAUGAUGCAAACGAUCGAUAUCCCCAGUCCUAACCAAACCUGGUGAUCGAAUAAAAGUAAAUGCUGUUGAAUCUGAAAUAUUAUUGGAAGUUCUUUAAAUAUUCAAACCGGCCAUUGAAAUGGUUUGACGACGGCAUUGAUGUUUGCCGAUUCAUCAGGAACGGGAAUGAGAAAAGCGUAAUGAUAAUAACCCCAUGGCAAUGUAAAAUCAACCACUUUAUUUCGCUGGAAGUUCGCGAGCGUAUCGUGGACCAGCAAAUCGGAUUCCUGUGAAAUAACGAAAUGAAUGAUGUGAAUGAAGUCAGAUAAUUCUUAGAUAAAAUGGAAUGAACUCAACUUGAUUCCACAAAUAGCUAAAAAGUCCUCGUCCUGUUGCGGAUGGCUCAACUUUGCUUUCCGUAACUCGAACCAUUUCGUACCUGAUGGCCAUGGAAUCGAGAAUGAAACAAGAAUUCGAGGAGUACUCCUCCUGGGAUCGGCCCGACUAUUCCUUUGGGGUUUCCACUCCAAAGUGUCUGUACCACAUCAUCAAAUAAUGUCAGAUGACGCGGAGGUGUUGGCCGUUGAGCGUGUUUUUCAUUGAUGAGGAACCGGGAAUGGAAAUGAAGAACCAAAGGGGAAAUAAUAAUAAAGGCCAGAGUGAUAUUGCGAUUCAGUUGAACGGACCAGCUAUCCGAUUGGGAUCUGGUGUUUUUGAUGCCAACAACGGUCCCUUAAAUAUAUCAACGAUAAUCUUUAACGUGCGCAGCACUGACUUGAAAAAAAAUUUCUGUUUUGAAGACUACGAAGUCUAUGUUUAGACGGCUAUUGUUAAUAAUUUUAGAAUUCAUAGGUUUUCUUAUGUUAUGGCAACAGUUGGCCUUGUAUUCAUCCGGUACGUGGUAUCCAAGCGUGGAAUAUGGAGUUUUAGGUAAAGUUUUUGAAAUUUCUUUUCGGUCGGUCCUUUACGUUGCAUGUAAAUCCAAGUUUAAUAAAGCGUGUGCAUUAUUCGUAUUCGAUGGAGUUGUUCGAUCCUCUGCGGCAUGUGAGAUUAAGGCGAACGCCUUAGAAACUUCGGAUUCAAUCCACCACAGGAAACAUUAAAUUUUUUCCCCCCUGAUUCAAUCAAAAUGGAUUCAGCAUUUCCCUUCUCACGAUUGUCUGCUGUAAUAUUUAAACUCGAUCCUUUAAGUCAAUAUCAGGCGAGUCAAUAUUUUACUCAAAAUUGAUUUUAUCAUACUUCAAGUAAUGUCGUGUAUUCUUUAUUCCAGCUGGAUGCAGUCCAGUUUCCUGUUUCGGCAGUCGCGCUGCUGGAUGUCAACUGAAAAGAUUGCAAUGACGUAGAAAAAAUUCGAUGCUGCAUCAGGGUAAUCUGCAUUUAUUUAACAUCUCUCUUCUCCUCGCGUGCGUUAUAUUCCUAAACUCGCUUUCAGCGCUCUGACUUCAGAUUUGAUUUAUGCAUUUCCAUUUGCAAUUUAAAAUGUUUUUGAUUUCCUGUCAUGUCGGAUGGAGGUAGAACGGAUAGCACAGGAUUUUUCUUUUAUCACACAUCUGUGAAGCUGAUAUUGUCUUUCGUUCUUUCCUCUUGGAACAACGGCCAAUCCCACAUUACAUUUUCUGUCGAUCGGGAUUAGAUUGGAAUUCAUUUGAUAUCCCUUCGUGUGCUACAGAUUUUUACAAUCGAUUCCAGUGUGUUUAGUGUAGUAGAGCCUUGAGUAGAGCGUUUCUGCCCUGCCCAGUAUUGAAAAUUGCGGUUGCAACAUGAAGGAACUGUCUGCUGUCGACUGCAAUGCACCCGACCAUCGACUACAAUAGGUGAAUAAUCUGCACUGCAAACUAUAUUUAACACUAAUGGGUCCAUUUUCAUGCAAAUAUGCAACGCUUGCAUUACCUAUCUGACAUGACAAUUGGAAGUGUGCAUCUCAACAAGAAGCAAAUUUGCCUAUUGCUUCAUUUCUAUUUUUUUCAAAGAAACCGGAGCGCGAAAGUCGAUGCGGUUCCACCAGAUUUUGAUCAAUUUGGAGCUCGCCCAUAAUUAAGUAUCCACAGCAUUUGAGUUGAAUCCGGUUGAAACCCAUCGUUACCCUGUACAAACCUUCUUCUUUUGGCCCAGUUCGUGUUCUCAUGAUGGCAUUAAGUUACACAAAUAUUAAUUCUCCGUUUUGAUGGACACACUGUGUGUGCCGUGCUCAUAACAUUUAUUUACUUCCUUGAACAGUUUUACAGUGACGGUUACAUUUCGAAAUGUUUCUGACUUUCUGAAGUCUAAACUUCAAUUCCUGCGACCCAUUUCAAGUCCGGUUGGAAUUCCUCUGGAUUCUGUGGGUUUAUCAGUCGAUAGACGAGAAGGUCAACUUGUCCCGACAGUUCGUCCAGCAGCCGACAACGGUCGUUUCUUCCUCUCCCGACAACGGUAUUUUGGUAACCAGCCAACGACAUGAUCGACUUGCCUGUCAACAAAUCAGGUAGGAAUCUUUUUCUCCGUGUUACUAAGUGUCGAGCGACUAUUCUGAAUCACGAUUUGACGGUACCGAAUAUUUUCUGUGCCCAAUUAAAACUGAAUCUUGAUUGUGAAGUGUCCGCGUGAACUCUUUUCAAUCGACUUGAGUAGCAAUUGUUAGUGCUGGACGUGAUGGACAGAAUGUGCGUGUAGGCGUCGUGUAUUGUUUAAUUUUCGGUUAGUAGUGAUUCAUUUGGUGAUGCAAUAGCUUCGCAAAUCAAUUUUUCAUUUCCCCUGAAAUGUGUUCAGUGUGACUGCUAAAUAGAAAGAGGGUUAUGAUAGUUUUUGGAUGGAAUAAUAUGUUAACAAUAGGGUGGUUCAGUUUAAGUUUAGUUAUUGACAAAUCUAAAUUUUACUUAUUCAAGGAUGAUGGUGGGUUCUUCUGUCUUUUGAGAUGACACCUCAAUCAAGUUAUUUGGGCAUUGUUUCAACUUUCUUCUCGUGCGACUGCCAUGUUGCUCACGGAGAGAAAUGAUUUUUUCGCAAAGAUAAGCCAAAAGAGAGAGACUCAAUCCAAUCAA